GUGCAAGACUUCUGUUUUUGGAUGGUUUCUUGUUAAGUAAGCUUUCAGGGAAGCUUUAGUUUGGCCGGGAAAAAUUACAAAUCGAAACAAAACAAAUAAAAAAAAAGCUGCUCAACGAAUGCCGGCAGUUGUCUCUACAUCACAGUGGCAAUACUUAAUUCAAGCAAAAGAAGCAGAGAAAUUGAAAAAGUUGGCAGACAUAGAAGAAAGGAAAAGACAACGAUUAAAAAAAGCUAGAGAUAAACUAUUAGCUGCUGAAGAAAAGAAAAGGCUAAAAUUAUUAGCUACUGAGGAGAAGAAGAAGAAGAAAAGGGAAGAAGAAAA
rnacentral:lncRNA from 1 species